GGCAAGCUUCCUGCUGUGGUUUGGAUUCGGGUCCCCACCCAAAUCUCACAUUGAAUUGGAGGAGGUGCAUGGUGAAAGGAACUGUUUAAAGCUAAAUAUGAAGAGUACUUCUGCUUGGAGAUGGCCCUGUCAUCAGCUCAAUCCCAAAGGAUAGCCAGGAAAAAUGUAACGAAGGCAGUGGGGCUGCUCUCAUAUCAGGAAUAAGAAGAAAUCAAUUCAUCAUCCUCAGCAUUCGCUGUCUGUCUUCAGUGUUCAUGGCCCUAAGCAUUCAUGGUCUUCAGCAUUCCCUGCCUCCGUCAUC